rnacentral:snRNA from 1 species
AGAUGCUCUUAUACCGUUCAC